rnacentral:siRNA from 1 species
AGAAAUGCCUAAACGUGUCACAUU